rnacentral:rRNA from 1 species
GUGGAUUAGAUACCCUGGUAGUCCUAGCCGUAAACGUUGGGUGCUAGGUGUGGGCGGUCAUCAACCCCGUCCGUGCCGAAGCUAACGCAUUAAGCACCCCGCCUGGGGAGUACGGCCGCAAGGCUAAAACUCAAAGGAAUUGACGGGGCCCCGCACAAGCGGCGGAGCAUGUUGCUUAAUUCGAUGCGACGCGAAGAACCUUACCUGGGCUUGACAUGCAGGGUGAAACCCGUGAAAGCGGGCGCUCUUCGGAGCCUGCACAGGUGGUGCACGGCUGUCGCCAGCU